CUACGGGAUGCAGCAGUGGGGAAUAUUGCACAAUGGAGGAAACUCUGAUGCAGCCAUGCCGCGUGUGUGAAGAAGGCCCGAGGGUUGUAAAGCACUUUCAAUUGGGAGGAAGGUUAUGUAGCUAAUACCUGCAUAAUUUGACGUUACCUUUAGAAGAAGCACCGGCUAACUCUGUGCCAGCAGCCGCGGUAAUACAGAGGGUGCAAGCGUUAUUCGGAAUUACUGGGCGUAAAGCGCGCGUAGGCGGAUUGUUAAGUCAGAUGUGAAAGCCCUGGGCUCAACCUGGGAACGGCAUUUGAUACUGGCAGUCUCGAGUUUAAGAGAGGGAAGGGGAAUUUCUAGUGUAGCAGUGAAAUGCAUAGAUAUUAGAAGGAACAUCUGUGGCGAAGGCGCCUUCCUGGCUUAAAACUGACGCUGAGGUGCGAAAGCGUGGGUAGCGAACGGGAUUAGAUACCCGUGUAGUC
rnacentral:rRNA from 1 species